rnacentral:lncRNA from 1 species
CUGAUUGUUUUCUAGGAGGGGUUACUGUCUCUUACUGAAAAUUCCUUUUUCCAGCCCCAGUCAGACCUUGCAGAAAACACUCCUUCCAACUUCUCUCAGCUUAAACCUGGCACCAACAUGUGGUCUGAGAAAGGAUGAAGGCUGUUAUUCAGGGCCUCUGGCAUAUCAUGGACUGACAAAUUGUGUUUUCCGUGAGAUAGCAGAACGGGAUGCGCUGCAAGUGUUCAGUUACGUCUUGCUCAGCAUUUG